UUACGGUCAAAUCAUAUUGAAAACACCGGUUCUCGUUCGAUCACCGAAGACAAGCAGUAUCGAUCCAGGUCAGUAUUUAGAUGGGGGACCGCUUGGAAACACCUGAUAUUGUAA